rnacentral:rRNA from 1 species
AGGAUGAACGCUGGCGGCGUGCCUAACACAUGCAAGUCGAACGAAGCACCAGAUCGGAAUCUUCGGAGGAAGAUCUGGUGACUGAGUGGCGGACGGGUGAGUAACGCGUGGGUAACCUGCCCUGUACAGGGGGAUAACAGUUGGAAACGGCUGCUAAUACCGCAUAAGCGCACGAAGGGACAUCCCUUUGUGUGAAAAACUCCGGUGGUACAGGAUGGGCCCGCGUCUGAUUAGCUGGUUGGCAGGGUAACGGCCUACCAAGGCGACGAUCAGUAGCCGGUCUGAGAGGAUGAACGGCCACAUUGGAACUGAGACACGGUCCAAACUCCUACGGGAGGCAGCAGUGGGGAAUAUUGCACAAUGGGGGAAACCCUGAUGCAGCAACGCCGCGUGAGUGAAGAAGUAUCUCGGUAUGUAAAGCUCUAUCAGCAGGGAAGAUAAUGACGGUACCUGACUAAGAAGCUCCGGCUAAAUACGUGCCAGCAGCCGCGGUAAUACGUAGGGGGCAAGCGUUAUCCGGAAUGAUUGGGCGUAAAGGGUGCGUAGGUGGCAGAUCAAGUCUGGAGUAAAAGGUAUGGGCUCAACCCGUACUGGCUCUGGAAACUGAUCAGCUAGAGAACAGAAGAGGACGGCGGAACUCCAUGUGUAGCGGUAAAAUGCGUAGAUAUAUGGAAGAACACCGGUGGCGAAGGCGGCCGUCUGGUCUGGAUACUGACACUGAAGCACGAAAGCGUGGGGAGCAAAUAGGAUUAGAUACCCUAGUAGUCCACGCCGUAAACGAUGAGAACUAGGUGUUGGGGGAAUAACUCAGUGCCGCAGUUAGCGCAGUAAGUUCUCCGCCUGGGGAGUAUGCACGCAAGUGUGAAACUCAAAGGAAUUGACGGGGGCCCGCACAAGCGGUGGAGUAUGUGGUUUAAUUCGAAGCAACGCGAAGAACCUUACCAGGCCUUGACAUCCCUUGCAGAGGUAUAGAGAUAUAUCCGAGGUUAUCAAGGAGACAGGUGGUGCAUGGUUGUCGUCAGCUCGUGUCGUGAGAUGUUGGGUUAAGUCCCGCAACGAGCGCAACCCCUAUUGUUAGUUGCUACGCAAGAGCACUCUAGCGAGACUGCCGUUGACAAAACGGAGGAAGGUGGGGACGACGUCAAAUCAUCAUGCCCCUUAUGUCCUGGGCUACACACGUAAUACAAUGGCGGUCAACAGAGGGAUGCAAAACCGUAAGGUGGAGCGAACCCCUAAAAGCCGUCCCAGUUCAGAUCGUGGGCUGCAACCCACCCACGUGAAGUCGGAAUCGCUAGUAAUCGCGGAUCAGCAUGCCGCGGUGA